UUAUUUGAUACACUGCGGUGGAGAUUUUUGACUCCACAAGCAUAUUGAGGAUUUGGUAAAGUGUAUUAUAUGGUGUAGUAAAAAAUAAAAAAAUUUAUUAUAUAAAUAAAUGUGAGACUUGUCACACUCUUAACACGUUUGUGGAGUCUAGAAAACUUCACUGACGGUGUAUCAAAUA
rnacentral:pre_miRNA from 1 species